GAUGAACGCUGGCGGCGUGCCUAAUACAUGCAAGUCGAGCGAACAGACGAGGAGCUUGCUCCUCUGACGUUAGCGGCGGACGGGUGAGUAACACGUGGAUAACCUACCUAUAAGACUGGGAUAACUUCGGGAAACCGGAGCUAAUACCGGAUAAUAUAUUGAACCGCAUGGUUCAAUAGUGAAAGACGGUUUUGCUGUCACUUAUAGAUGGAUCCGCGCCGCAUUAGCUAGUUGGUAAGGUAACGGCUUACCAAGGCAACGAUGCGUAGCCGACCUGAGAGGGUGAUCGGCCACACUGGAACUGCGACACGGUCCAGACUCCUACGGGAGGCAGCAGUAGGGAAUCUUCCGCAAGGGGCGGAAGCCUGACGGAGCAACCUCGCGUGAGUGAUGCAGGUCUUCGGAUCGUAAAACUCUGUUAUUAGGGAAGAACAAAUGUGUAAGUAACUAUGCACGUCUUGACGGUACCUAAUCAGAAAGCCACGGCUAACUACGUG
rnacentral:rRNA from 1 species